GACGAACGCUGGCGGCGUGCCUAAUACAUGCAAGUCGAGCGCAGGAAGCCAUCUGAACCCUUCGGGGGGACGACGGUGGAAUGAGCGGCGGACGGGUGAGUAACACGUAAAGAACCUGCCCAUAGGUCUGGGAUAACCACGAGAAAUCGGGACUAAUUCCGGAUGUGUCAUCGGACCGCAUGGUCCGCUGAUGAAAGGCGCUCCGGCGUCGCCCAUGGAUGGCUUUGCGGUGCAUUAGCUAGUUGGUGGGGUAACGGCCCACCAAGGCGACGAUGCAUAGCCGACCUGAGAGGGUGAUCGGCCACACUGGGACUGAGACACGGCCCAGACUCCUACGGGAGGCAGCAGUAGGGAAUCUUCCACAAUGGACGAAAGUCUGAUGGAGCAACGCCGCGUGAACGAUGAAGGCUUUCGGGUCGUAAAGUUCUGUUGUAAGGGAAGAACAAGUGCCGCAGGCAAUGGCGGCACCUUGACGGUACCUUGCGAGAAAGCCACGGCUAACUACGUGCCAGCCGCCGCCGUAAUAC
rnacentral:rRNA from 1 species